rnacentral:tRNA from 1 species
GAGGCUUUAACUUAAUAAAAGUGUUUGUUUUGCAUACAAUUAAUAUAGGUUAAAGUCCUGUAAGUCUUA